rnacentral:rRNA from 1 species
CGCAGCUUAACUGCGGGGUUGCAGGCGAUACGGGCAUAACUUGAGUGCAGUAGGGGAGACUGGAAUUCCUGGUGUAGCGGUGGAAUGCGCAGAUAUCAGGAGGAACACCGAUGGCGAAGGCAGGUCUCUGGGCAGUAACUGACGCUGAGGAGCGAAAGCAUGGGGAGCGAACAGGAUUAGAUACCCUGGUAGUCCACGCCGUA